rnacentral:rRNA from 1 species
AGUUUAGCUAAUGUUGCCCGUACCGUAAACCGACACAGGUGGGUGGGAUGAGUAUUCUAAGGCGCGUGGAAGAACUCUCUUUAAGGAACUCUGCAAAAUAGCACCGUAUCUUCGGUAUAAGGUGUGGUUCGCUUCGUAUUAGGAUUUACUCCGAAAGCGAAGAAACUUACAACAAAGAGUCCCUCCCGACUGUUUACCAAAAACACAGCACUCUGCUAACUCGUAAGAGGAUGUAUAGGGUGUGACGCCUGCCCGGUGCUCGAAGGUUAAUUGAUGGGGUUAGCAUUAGCGAAGCUCUUGAUCGAAGCCCGAGUAAACGGCGGCCGUAACUAUAACGGUCCUAAGGUAGCGAAAUUCCUUGUCGGUUAAAUACCGACCUGCAUGAAUGGCGUAACGAGAUGGGAGCUGUCUCAAAGAGGGAUCCAGUGAAAUUGUAGUGGAGGUGAAAAUUCCUCCUACCCGCGGCAAGACGGAAAGACCCCGUGGACCUUUACUACAGCUUGACACUGCUACUUGGAUAAGAAUGUGCAGGAUAGGUGGGAGGCUUUGAGUAUAUGACGCCAGUUGUAUAUGAGCCAUUGUUGAGAUACCACUCUUUCUUAUUUGGGUAGCUAACCAGCUUGAGUUAUCCUCAAGUGGGACAAUGUCUGGUGGGUAGUUUGACUGGGGCGGUCGCCUCCCAAAUAAUAACGGAGGCUUACAAAGGUUGGCUCAGAACGGUUGGAAAUCGUUCGUAGAGUAUAAAGGUAUAAGCCAGCUUAACUGCAAGACAUACAAGUCAAGCAGAGACGAAAGUCGGUCUUAGUGAUCCGGUGGUUCUGUGUGGAAGGGCCAUCGCUCAAAGGAUAAAAGGUACCCCGGGGAUAACAGGCUGAUCUCCCCCAAGAGCUCACAUCGACGGGGAGGUUUGGCACCUCGAUGUCGGCUCAUCGCAUCCUGGGGCUGGAGCAGGUCCCAAGGGUAUGGCUGUUCGCCAUUUAAAGCGGUACGCGAGCUGGGUUCAGAACGUCGUGAGACAGUUCGGUCCCUAUCUGCCGUGGGCGUAAGAAGAUUGAAGAGAUUUGACCCUAGUACGAGAGGACCGGGUUGAACAAACCACUGGUGUAGCUGUUGUUCUGCCAAGAGCAUCGCAGCGUAGCUAAGUUUGGAAAGGAUAAACGCUGAAAGCAUCUAAGCGUGAAGCCAACUCUAAGAUGAAUCUUCUCUAAGCUCUCUAGAAGACUACUAGUUUGAUAGGCUGGGUGUGUAAUGGAUGAAAGUCCUUUAGCUGACCAGUACUAAUAGAGCGUUUGGCUUAUCUUU